UCUAGGAUAGAUGAAAAUGGCAUAUUCGAUCUCUCUCUCUCUCGCUCUCUGUAUCAGGGGUAGCUCGCUGUUGACGUUAUCGGGGUCAAAUCCUUGUACUGGAGAUCUCCGGUGAUAAGCUAAAAGGAGGCAGGCUUUUCGGCUGACACUUGGAAUCCACUCGACGGAGAGGGAAGGGAAAUCGAAGAAUUUGAUAAUUCCGGCGGCCCAUAAUUUCCCUUUUUGGGGAGAGAUUAUUCACCGCCCUCCACCUCCGAUCGC
rnacentral:lncRNA from 1 species